UACAGAGACUGCAAGCGUUAUUCGGAUUCACUGGGCGUAAAGGGUGCGCAGGCGGCCAAGUGUGUUAGGCGUGAAAGCCCGGGGCUUAACCCCGGAAUUGCACCUAAAACUACAUGGCUAGAGCAUUGGAGAGGGUAGCGGAAUUCACGGUGUAGCAGUGAAAUGCGUAGAUAUCGUGAGGAACACCAGAGGCGAAGGCGGCUACCUGGCCUGUUCUUGACGCUGGAGGCGCGGAAAGCUGGGGGAGCAAACGGG
rnacentral:rRNA from 1 species